rnacentral:rRNA from 1 species
GAUGAACGCUGGCGGCGUGCCUAAUACAUGCAAGUCGAGCGAAUGGAUUAAGAGCUUGCUCUUAUGAAGUUGGCGGCGGACGGGUGAGUAACACGUGGGUAACCUGCCCAUAAGACUAGGAUAACUCCGGGAAACCGGGGCUAAUACCGGAUAACAUUUUGAACCGCAUGGUUCGAAAUUGAAAGGCGGCUUCGGCUGUCACUUAUGGGUGGACCCGCGUCGCAUUGGCUAGUUGGUGAGGUAACGGCUCACCAAGGCAACGAUGCGUAGCCGACCUGAGAGGGUGAUCGGCCACACUGGGACUGAGACACGGCCCAGACUCCUACGGGAGGCAGCAGUAGGGAAUCUUCCGCAGUGGACGAAAGUCUGACGGAGCAACGCCGCGUGAGUGAUGAAGGCUUUCGGGUCGUAAAACUCUGUUGUUAGGGAAGAACAAGUGCUAGUUGAAUAAGCUGGCACCUUGACGGUACCUAACCAGAAAGCACCGGCUAACUACGUGCCAGCAGCCGCCGUAA